rnacentral:rRNA from 1 species
CCUACGGGAGGCAGCAGUGAGGAAUAUUGGUCAAUGGGCGCGAGCCUGAACCAGCCAAGUCGCGUGAGGGAAGACGGUCCUAUGGAUUGUAAACCUCUUUUGUCGGGGAGCAAAAGACGCCACGCGUGGCGUUCCGAGAGUACCCGACGAACAAGCAUCGGCUAACUCCGUGCCAGCAGCCGCGGUAAUACGGAGGAUGCGAGCGUUAUCCGGAUUUAUUGGGUUUAAAGGGUGCGCAGGCGGAAGAUCAAGUCAGCGGUAAAAUUGAGAGGCUCAACCUCUUCGAGCCGUUGAAACUGGUGUUCUUGAGUGAGUGAGAAGUAUGCGGAAUGCGUGGUGUAGCGGUGAAAUGCAUAGAUAUCACGCAGAACUCCGAUUGCGAAGGCAGCAUACCGGCGCUCAACUGACGCUCAUGCACGAAAGUGUGGGUAUCGAACAGGAUUAGAUACCCGUGUAGUC